AUUGAACGCUGGCGGCAGGCCUAACACAUGCAAGUCGUGCGAGAAAGUACUUCGGUACGAGUAGAGCGGCGGACGGGUGAGUAACGCUUGGGAAUCUGCCCAGUAGUGGGGGAUAACGUGUGGAAACGCACGCUAAUACCGCGUACGUCCUACGGGAGAAAGCAGGGGAUCUUCGGACCUUGCGCUAUUGGAUGAGCCCAAGUCAGAUUAGCUAGUUGGUGAGGUAAAGGCUCACCAAGGCGACGAUCUGUAGCUGGUCUGAGAGGAUGAUCAGCCACACUGGGACUGAGACACGGCCCAGACUCCUACGGGAGGCAGCAGUGGGGAAUAUUGCACAAUGGGCGCAAGCCUGAUGCAGCCAUGCCGCGUGUGUGAAGAAGGCUCUAGGGUUGUAAAGCACUUUCAGUAGGGAGGAAAAGCUUAAAACUAAUAAUUUUAAGCCUUGACGUUACCUACAGAAGAAGCACCGGCAAACUCCGUGCCAGCCGCCGCCGUAACAC
rnacentral:rRNA from 1 species